GGGUGAGUAAUACUUAGGAAUCUACCUAGUAGUGGGGGAUAGCUCGGGGAAACUCGAAUUAAUACCGCAUACGACCUACGGGAGAAAGGGGGCAGUUUACUGCUCUCGCUAUUAGAUGAGCCUAAGUCGGAUUAGCUAGAUGGUGGGGUAAAGGCCUACCAUGGCGACGAUCUGUAGCUGGUCUGAGAGGAUGAUCAGCCACACCGGAACUGAGACACGGUCCGGACUCCUACGGGAGGCAGCAGUGGGGAAUAUUGGACAAUGGGGGCAACCCUGAUCCAGCCAUGCCGCGUGUGUGAAGAAGGCCUUUUGGUUGUAAAGCACUUUAAGCAGUGAAGAAGACUCCGUGGUUAAUACCCACGGACGAUGACAUUAGCUGCAGAAUAAGCACCGGCUAACUCUGUGCCAGCAGCCGCGGUAAUACAGAGGGUGCAAGCGUUAAUCGGAAUUACUGGGCGUAAAGCGAGCGUAGGUGGCUUGAUAAGUCAGAUGUGAAAUCCCCGGGCUUAACCUGGGAACUGCAUCUGAUACUGUUAGGCUAGAGUAGGUGAGAGGAAGGUAGAAUUCCAGGUGUAGCGGUGAAAUGCGUAGAGAUCUGGAGGAAUACCGAUGGCGAAGGCAGCCUUCUGGCAUCAUACUGACACUGAGGCUCGAAAGCGUGGGUAGCAAACAGGAUUAGAUACCCUGGUAGUCCACGCCGUAAACGAUGUCUACUAGUCGUUGGGUCCCUUGAGGACUUAGUGACGCAGCUAACGCAAUAAGUAGACCGCCUGGGGAGUACGGCCGCAAGGUUAAAACUCAAAUGAAUUGACGGGGGCCCGCACAAGCGGUGGAGCAUGUGGUUUAAUUCGAUGCAACGCGAAGAACCUUACCUGGUCUUGACAUAUCUAGAAUCCUGCAGAGAUGCGGGAGUGCCUUCGGGAAUUAGAAUACAGGUGCUGCAUGGCUGUCGUCAGCUCGUGUCGUGAGAA
rnacentral:rRNA from 1 species